GCAGCCGCGGUAAUUCCAGCUCCAAUAGCGUAUAUUAAAGUUGUUGCAGUUAAAAAGCUCGUAGUUGAAUUUCGGGGUUAGUAGGUUGGUCAUGCCUCUGGUAUGUACUGGUCUCACUGAUUCCUCCUUCCUGAUGAACCGUAAUGCCAUUAAUUUGGUGUUGCGGGGAAUUUGGACUGUUACUUUGAAAAAAUUAGAGUGUUUAAAGCAAGCUAACGCUUGAAUACAUUAGCAUGGAAUAAUGAAAUAGGACGUUCGAUCCUAUUUUGUUGGUUUCUAGGAUUGACGUAAUGAUUAAUAGGGAUAGUUGGGGGCAUUAGUAUUCAAUUGUCAGAGGUGAAAUUCUUGGAUUUAUUGAAGACUAACUACUGCGAAAGCAUUUGCCAAGGAUGUUUUCAUUAAUCAAGAACGAAAGUUAGGGGAUCGAAGACGAUCAGAUACCGUCGUAGUCUUAACCAUAAACUAUGCCGACUAGGGAUCGGAUGAUGUUAAUUUUUUAAUGACUCA
rnacentral:rRNA from 1 species